AGAAGGAUGAGCUAGACAACCUAGCUAUGGUCCUGAAAGGAUUUUUCUUUUGGGAAACAUAUGCCAGAGAAAGUGCACGGAACUGUUGCGAGCAUGCAAGGACUUUAAGUGAGGAAGGUUUUACAGAAAAAUGCAGGUUAACGCACUCAGAAGUCUGCAGUGUAUGAGUGAUGUGAAAGAGAUAUCUUGGGCUUUGAGUUGAACAACUUCCCAAUCAAUCUGAAUUGCGUGAAUGAUUUUGUGAAAGUGUCUAUGCAGAAAGGCAUAUAUGGAUAUUUGUUUACAGGUGUCCAUACCUAAACAACAUUGGCUCCUGAAGAUAUCUGGUACCUCUUGAGUUUUGUCUUCCUGCAAGAACCUGUAGCCUUUUUUUGGUAAAUAAGAAAUAAGAGCUAUGUCAUGAAAUAAUUUCUGCCUGAUAAGAAAGCACCCUUGUAAGGAUGCUUUUCCCCAUCAUUGCACAGAAUAUGUUCAGCGUUUUCUCCAUCGGUGAACUCUCUACUUCCACAAAACACUGUUUUGGGGUCAGCUUGGCAGCACAGCAGAGCUCUGACGACUUCUGCAGCAGAUGAAGUACAGCCAAAGGGCUGCAUCCUUAGCAGAGAUGAGAAAACUGAAAUUCUUCUGAGAAGCAAAUAAUUGUUUAAGAAAUGAAGAUUACAGGAUACUACUACAAUUCAUGUUUAAAUAAUGUUUGAAUACCAUAAAACUCUUCUAACGGACAUUGAAUGAUGUGACUUGGAAAACAAUGGAAAACAACCUCAUCUGUAAUAUGGUAUUCUUAGUUGUUAAUGGCAUUAAAUAACAACCUUUUAAAAGCAGGAUGUUCGUAUUACCAUAUUACCACAAAAAAUAUUAAGAUUAAAUAAAAAAAUAGCAAAAUUAAAAUAAUUUCUUAUAUCCUACUGCUUGUAUUCUUAUUGAAACCUAAAUAUUUUCCAUAGCACUUACACAUUCACACCAUCUGCUCCCAGAUUCAUUACUAUUUAACACACUCUCCCCAGUCUGAUCCACUUGAAAGCUUUCCAACAUUAACUUUCUCCCAUUAGCAAGACCAGAAAGUAAUUGUAACAUAACAUUUUAAGUAAGAAUUAAAGGUUGAUAAAAGAAGUUUAUGAUGAGCUACUCAUGCUGGAAAAAGAUGUAGAAUCUAAUCUAAGAUAGAUGAA